GGCGUGGUGGCGAAGUGGUAACGCUGCGGUCUGCAAAACCGCCAUGCGCGGGUUCGAUUCCCGCCCACGCCUCAA
rnacentral:tRNA from 2 species